UGGUUGCGUUGCUGUUGUACAAACA
rnacentral:piRNA from 1 species